rnacentral:miRNA from 1 species
UUCUGCUGCCGGCCAAGGC